rnacentral:rRNA from 1 species
UAAGUGACUGAGCGGCGGACGGGUGAGUAACGCGUGGGUAACCUGCCUCAUACAGGGGAAUAACAGUUAGAAAUGGCUGCUAAUGCCGCAUAAGCGCACAGGGCCGCAUGGUCCGGUGUGAAAAACUCCGGUGGUAUGAGAUGGACCCGCGUCUGAUUAGGUAGUUGGCGGGGUAAUGGCCCACCAAGCCGACGAUCAGUAGCCGACCUGAGAGGGUGACCGGCCACAUUGGGACUGAGACACGGCCCAGACUCCUACGGGAGGCAGCAGUGGGGAAUAUUGCACAAUGGAGGAAACUCUGAUGCAGCGACGCCGCGUGAAGGAAGAAGUAUCUCGGUAUGUAAACUUCUAUCAGCAGGGAAGAAAAUGACGGUACCUGACUAAGAAGCCCCGGCUAACUACGUGCCAGCAGCCGCGGUAAUACGUAGGGGGCAAGCGUUAUCCGGAUUUACUGGGUGUAAAGGGAGCGUAGACGGACGGGCAAGUCUGAUGUGAAAGCCCGGGGCUUAACCCCGGGACUGCAUUGGAAACUGUCCAUCUUGAGUGCCGAAGAGGUAAGCGGAAUUCCUAG